UACGUACUCCCUCCGUCCGGAAAUACUUGUCACCAAAAUAAAUAAAAAAGAAUGUAUCUGGAUGUAUUUUAGUUCUAGAUUCAUCCCUUUUUAUUCAUUUUGAUGACAAAUAUUUUUGAACGGAGAGAGUAUGUU
rfam:Triticum urartu cultivar G1812 contig570092, whole genome shotgun sequence.